GAUGAACGCUGGCGGCGUGCUUAACACAUGCAAGUCGAACGAAGCACUUUAUUUGAUUUCCUUCGGGACUGAUUAUUUUGUGACUGAGUGGCGGACGGGUGAGUAACGCGUGGGUAACCUGCCUUGUACAGGGGGAUAACAGUUGGAAACGGCUGCUAAUACCGCAUAAGCGCACAGCAUCGCAUGAUGCAGUGCGAAAAACUCCGGUGGUAUAAGAUGGACCCGCGUUGGAUUAGCUAGUUGGUGAGGUAACGGCCCACCAAGGCGACGAUCCAUAGCCGACCUGAGAGAGUGACCGGCCACAUUGGGACUGGGACACGGCCCAAACUCCUACGGGAGGCAGCAGUGGGGAAUAGUGCACAAUGGGCGAAAGCCUGAUGCAGCGACGCCGCGUGAGCGAAGAAGUAUUUCGGUAUGUAAAGCUCUAUCAGCAGGGAAGAUAAUGACGGUACCUAACUAAGAAGCACCGGCUAAAUACGUG
rnacentral:rRNA from 1 species